GGACAUAGUUCAGUGGUAGAGCAUCUGCAUUACACAUAUAAGGUCCUAGGUUCAAUCCCCAUCAUCUCCA